CAUCUCUCUUUCAAGGAGGCA
rnacentral:siRNA from 1 species